CUGCGGGACUAGGUCCUCACAGGCCCAGCGCGGGGACGCUACCCGCUAGGGCCUGCAGGGGGCGCUAGAGAGAGCUGGGCGGCACCUGCGCCACAGCGUGUGGUGUGCAGCAGAUGCGGUCCCCAGGCGUGGUGUCUCUGGGUCCUGCGGAGCAGAGUGAAUUCGAGGCUGCAGCCGCUUGCCUGGCUCCAGACCCCCACAUGGGGCAGAGGGUGCAGCUGCUGCCCAGGAAGGAACUGUCACCCAGCAGGAAGGCUGCAGGUCCGCGCUGGCUGGGGUGAAGUAUACUCCACCUGCUGCGGCCUGACUCCAGCUCCAGGGUGGCUGGGCGCCCUGUCUGGGCCUCAGGCUCGUCGGGCAGUUCGAGGACCGACUGGGGACAGCCACUGGCUGGGAUGAGGCUCUGGGCGCAAGAUGCUGGCUUUCAGACCUGAUCUGCUCUAUCGCCUUCGGCUAUUUCUGGUCCAGCUGUGUUUACUUUUGCCCCGUGUCCCUGUCUUUGUUCCCGGAAAUCAGCCCGCUGGAAAAACCAAUUAAAGCCAAAAGAGAUUAAAGGGGGCUCGCAGGAGAUGAGCGUUACUGCGUGCAUUUGGGCAGCACUGGGAGUAAAUAGUUCAGACUCUGCUCACAGUAAAAUUAAGCAAGUAUUUUACAUUCAACAUUCAUUUCCUCCCUCAGACUGCUGUUUCCAUGGGAACGCGAGCACUCCAGGUAACCCUGGCCUCCACGCCUGCCGGUUCCCGUGUCUCUUGGGAGGGCCAAUCUCACAUGGGACGUCAGGAUCCCCACAGUGGAGCUCUGUGUUACACUGA
rnacentral:lncRNA from 1 species